AUGCUACAUAUUCCUUUGAUGAAGAAACCAUAUGACCCCCUACAGUUCUUUGAUGAGCUUGUUGCACAAGUUAACAAUAAGAUUCGUGGUUUUGAGGCAGCUGUAUCAGAGCUCUGGUUUGUAGAAGAAUAUGAUGUCCUAGCGCUUGCAUUGAAUGGAAGAAUCAAGACAAGGAGAUUCCAUCUUGGCUGCCAAGGAAAUUAAAACCUUUUAAGUAGAAGUGUGGAUAU